rnacentral:rRNA from 1 species
GACGAACGCUGGCGGCGUGCCUAAUACAUGCAAGUUGAGCGAUGAAGAUUGGUGCUUGCACCAAUUUGAAGAGCAGCGAACGGGUGAGUAACGCGUGGGGAAUCUGCCUUUGAGCGGGGGACAACAUUUGGAAACGAAUGCUAAUACCGCAUAAUAACUUUAAACAUAAGUUUUAAGUUUGAAAGAUGCAAUUGCAUCACUCAAAGAUGAUCCCGCGUUGUAUUAGCUAGUUGGUGAGGUAAAGGCUCACCAAGGCGAUGAUACAUAGCCGACCUGAGAGGGUGAUCGGCCACAUUGGGACUGAGACCCGGCCCAAACUCCUACGGGAGGCAGCAGUAGGGAAUCUUCGGCAAUGGACGAAAGUCUGACCGAGCAACGCCGCGUGAGUGAAGAAGGUUUUCGGAUCGUAAAACUCUGUUGGUAGAGAAGAACGUUGGUGAGAGUGGAAAGCUCAUCAAGUGACGGUAACUACCCAGAAAGGGACGGCUAACUACGUG